rnacentral:rRNA from 1 species
UGGGGAAUUUUGGACAAUGGGCGAAAGCCUGAUCCAGCAAUGCCGCGUGUGUGAAGAAGGCCUUCGGGUUGUAAAGCACUUUUGUCCGGAAAGAAAUCCUUGGCUCUAAUACAGUCGGGGGAUGACGGUACCGGAAGAAUAAGCGCCGGCUAACUACGUGCCAGCAGCCGCGGUAAUACGUAGGGUGCAAGCGUUAAUCGGAAUUACUGGGCGUAAAGCGUGCGCAGGCGGUUUGCUAAGACCGAUGUGAAAUCCCCGGGCUCAACCUGGGAACUGCAUUGGUGACUGGCAGGCUAGAGUAUGGCAGAGGGGGGUAGAAUUCCACGUGUAGCAGUGAAAUGCGUAGAGAUGUGGAGGAAUACCGAUGGCGAAGGCAGCCCCCUGGGCCAAUACUGACGCUCAUGCACGAAAGCGUGGGGGAGCAAAACAGGAUUAGAUACCCUGGUAGUCCACGCCCUAAACGAUGUCAACUAGUUGUUGGGGAUUCAUUUCCUUAGUAACGUAGCUAACGCGUGAAGUUGACCGCCUGGGGAGUACGGUCGCAAGAUUAAAACUUCAAAUGAAUUGACGGGGUCAUAGCUGUUUCCU